GACGAACGCUGGCGGCGUGCUUAACACAUGCAAGUCGAACGGAAAGGCCCUGCUUUUGUGGGGUGCUCGAGUGGCGAACGGGUGAGUAACACGUGAGUAACCUGCCCUUGACUUUGGGAUAACUUCAGGAAACUGGGGCUAAUACCGGAUAGGAGCUCCUGCUGCACGGUGGGGGUUGGAAAGUUUCGGCGGUUGGGGAUGGACUCGCGGCUUAUCAGCUUGUUGGUGGGGUAGUGGCUUACCAAGGCUUUGACGGGUAGCCGGCCUGAGAGGGUGACCGGCCACAGUGGGACUGGGAUACGGCCCGGACGCCUACGGGAGGCAGCGGUGGGGAAUAUUGCACAAUGGGCGGAGGCCUGAUGCAGCAACUCCGCGUGCGGGAUGACGGCCUUCGGGUAGUAAACCGCGUUCGCCUGUGACGAAGCGUGAGUGACGGUAAUGGGUAAAGAAGCACCGGCAAACUCCGU
rnacentral:rRNA from 1 species